AAAAUAAUGCCAAUAGCAUACAAAACAAACCGCCUGAUGAAAUGAUCAUCUGGAGUUUUGGAGGCUUUAAUUUUGUCCUCGAGGUCACUCAGCUUAAGUCUUCCAUCUGUUUGAUAAGCCCUUAACAGCUCUUCGCUAGCAGCACCAACAUAAUACGUCAAAGAGACACUGACUUCAUCUUUGUUAGCCCUCCAAGACCGGUUUGAGUGCAGAUGGCCUUUAGGUGCUCGUCAUCUAAUCCAUCAAUCAUUUGCGCGAACCUUAUCGGUGAGCACAUUAACCUCAUAUUUGCAUGUUUCACACUGAGUUCGUCCAAAAAAGCCUGAAAUACGUGUAAAGGUAAAAGAACUAUGUGUUUUCAAAGAUUUUCACCUAACUGGGAAAAAAUAUACCUGAUUGGUUAAGUCUGGUAAUUGUGUGUCGGCACAACUUGUAGGAGAACUGGCCAUUCCUUGAAAAUAUGCACAAACAGAGACUGGGUCAUGUCAGAGAAUAAACAUAAGCUAUGGGGUUGUACCAUACUGUAAUUGUUCCACCUAUUUCUUACAGAGCACAAAAUUACUAUGAUAAGCUAUUUAAUUUAAUUACUUCUUUGUUACUACCUCUCCAGAGGUGUACGUUAACCACACAGAUUGAUCGGUGAUUAAUGAUUACUUACUAAAUUUUCUCUACUGUCGUUAAUGUGAACAACACGUGGUAUUUAUUCUGCCAUUUGAUAUUUAUAUACAAAGUUUUGGAUUAUAUUGACCUCACUGUUUCUAAGGGGUGUAAAAAUACCAGGCGUUCUAACCGUGAUGCGAAUAGGUGGAUGAAGAGGAAGCAGUACCGUCGUAUCGCACAUGCCAGGUGGGUGGUGGCCGCUGGCUCUGAUCCCCUGGGUGGUUGGGUGUGGCUGGCGGCUCCAAUCGUCCCGGUCAGGAGGGCGGCGUUGGCGUUCAAGCUGAAUGCGUGAAGUGUCCACGGAGAGAGUUCGACGCCGGCGACGAGCAUAGACAGGCGGAUCACGAUGCUGUGGACGGAGCAAAAUUCAGAGAAAACCCAUAAGAUCUCAUGAUGGCUUCAUGCAUAGAAACAAGCAGUGACGUCGUAUUCCGCAGGCCGGAUGGGCGGUCGCCGGCGGCUCCGUUCCCGUGGGUGAGGACGGCGGCUCCGUUACAGCCGGUGAACAGGGCGGCGGCGAUGGGACUGGCGUUGGAGGAGAAGGUCGCGUGUGAGAAGGCGGCUGGAAUGGAAUGUGAGUGGAGAAUCGAGUUGCAGCCGGCUAGGCCAGUUGGAUUGGAGGUUGUUGCAGAUAAUGGGGGAGGUGGGAGAGAAGUUUGGGAGGGCCGAUAGAUAUGCGCGUGGUGGGUUCAGCUCCUCUACAGUUCAGUUGUUACUGUAUGGGUGCUGUAGGCUCUACUAUCAACACCAAUUCUUUUGGCACGUCAUUUUUUUCUUCAGAAUCUGCCACGUCUGUUUCUGGCUUGCGCCCGGGCUUAGGCGAUCUCUUUGGCCAAACUAAUUGUGUGUUAA